UACAGAGGGUGCGAGCGUUAAUCGGAAUUACUGGGCGUAAAGCGUGCGCAGGCGGUUCGCUAAGACAGGUGUGAAAUCCCCGGGCUCAACCUGGGAAUGGCGCUUGUGACUGGCGGGCUUGAGUACGGCAGAGGGAGGUGGAAUUCCACGUGUAGCAGUGAAAUGCGUAGAUAUGUGGAGGAACACCGAUGGCGAAGGCAGCCUCCUGGGCCAGUACUGACGCUCAUGCACGAAAGCGUGGGGAGCAAACAGG
rnacentral:rRNA from 1 species